CACCUGGUUGAUCCUGCCAGUAGUCAUAUGCUUGUCUCAAAGAUUAAGCCAUGCAUGUCUAAGUAUAAGCUUUAAACGGCGAAACUGCGAAUGGCUCAUUAAAACAGUUAUAGUUUAUUUGGUGAUCGAUUACUAUUUGGAUAACCGUAGUAAUUCUAGAGCUAAUACAUGCGUCAAGGCCCGACUUCGGAAGGGCUGCGUUUAUUAGAUACAGAACCAACCUAGGCUCCGCCUAGUCCUUGUUGGUGAUUCAUAAUAACCCGGCGAAUCGCACGGCUUGUCCGGCGAUGGACCAUUCAAGUUUCUGACCUAUCAGCUAUGGACGGUAGGGUAUUGGCCUACCGUGGCGUUGACGGGUAACGGGGAAUUAGGGUUCGAUUCCGGAGAGGGAGCCUGAGAAACGGCUACCACAUCUAAGGAAGGCAGCAGGCGCGCAAAUUACCCAA
rnacentral:ncRNA from 1 species